GUCCCUGUAGCGCAAUGGAUAGCGCUUUGGAGUUCUAAUCCAAUGGUCUUGGGCUAAAUUGCCACCUGGAAUA